UACGUAGGGCGCAAGCGUUGUCCGGAAUUAUUGGGCGUAAAGAGCUCGUAGGUGGCUUGUCACGUCGGGUGUGAAAGCUUGGGGCUUAACUCCAGGUCUGCAUUCGAUACGGGCUGGCUAGAGGUAGGUAGGGGAGAACGGAAUUCCUGGUGUAGCGGUGAAAUGCGCAGAUAUCAGGAGGAACACCGGUGGCGAAGGCGGCAUCCUGGACCGACACUGACGCUGAGGAGCGAAAGCCAGGGGAGCAAACGGG
rnacentral:rRNA from 1 species